GUUAUACUCAGGAUCACGAAGCAAUGCGUACACGUCAUGGAUGACGUAGAUCCGUUACCAACACUAAAUCAAAAAUACGCGCCGCAAUACGUGGCAAUACGGAUCAAAAUCGAUCAAUUUGGGGGAAAUUAUAUUGGUACGACUGAUAGCGAAACAUAUGCUAAAGUUUUAUCGAUUUCACAAGUGUCAUUGGUGUCAACUUUGGUUAUGUUGUGUUAUUGUUUGAUUUUUCGCGUUUUUCUACUUUUCUGCUCGUGUAAUCGUAUCAGUUCUUUUCAGAACUAUAACAGUUCUUUAUAGAACUCCAAGUUAACUGUCCUGUACCGUGGUACGUGUCGCUUGCUUGAACGUAAACAUUCCACCAUGCCGAAGCCCUUGCACAAAGAUGUAAAGCAAAUGGACGAUAAUUUAGUGGACUAUUUUGCUAAAGAAUGCGAUAGCGGGGAACCUCUUUUACCACUAACAGCUGUUCAAGACAGGGUUGCUGCUGCUCUGGGUGUAUGUGUGCGAACAGUGAACUCCGUGGUACAACAAAUAAAAACCGGAGAAGGUGUACAUUCUCCCAAGAAAUAGAGACCCCCGAACAAAGCAAGUGUGUGAUAUUAGCACUUCGGAGCAGUGUGCUAUUCGAGAAUGCUUAUAUGGAAUGGUCGAAGAAAAAAUACAUGUUACACGAUCGCCAUUAAUUGAUUGCUUGAAGGAGAAACAUAUAUUUGAGGGUUCUGUGAGCUCGUUAGGAAAAAUUUUACAUUCUCAAUUGGGUUUCGUUAUUCGCCAACCAGUGUACGGAAGCGUCUUAUGGAAUUACAACAUGUUGUUCAUGCAAGAACCAAAUUCUUACGUGAAUACAUGCACAAUCAGCAGAACCCAAAUUCUUUGCCAUGUGUAUAUCUUGAUGAAACAUGGAUAUUUGAAAAUGGUUCGGUAGUUAGGUCAUUGCAAGACGAUAGUGUCAUAAGUAUCAGGAUGUUCAAAAUAGAAGGGAAAAUUUAGUAAUGUGUCAGUUUCACGUUAGUUAUUUAUUCUUCUCACUAUAUUUUAGGUAUAUUGUAUUACAUGCAGGUACAAGCAAUGGAUUUAUUGAUGAAGCAGCGCUAGUAUUUUCUUCUAAUACCAAAAAUCCAGACUAUCAUGGCGAAAUGAAUCAACAGAAUUUUCUCAAGUGGUUUCAAUUGCUCAUGAACCUUGAAGAACCACCACAGAUUAUUAUAGACAAUGCAAGCUACCACAGUACCUUUGCAAACAAAUGUCCCAGUGGUUCAUGGAAAAAGGCAGAAAUUCGUGAAUGGCUUUAACAACAUGACAUAAGUUCAGAUUCACAGCUGUUAAAAACGGAACUUCUUCAUUUGGUUGCACAAAAUAAACCAAAAACGUAUGUUGCCGUGAAUUGGGCCAACAGAAUGGCCAUAGAGUAUUGCGAUUGCCGCCAUAUCAUUGUGUGUUUAACCCUAUAGAAAAUACUUGGGGAAUUACUACAAAUUUUUAUUCCAAACACAUUGGGCGUGAUGGUUAUGGUCAAAAAAUUCCGUGGAAAUGUGGAAAGAAGCGUUAGCACAUGUCACGCCCACAAUGUGGAAAAAUACUGUUGACCAUAUGAAUAAAAUAAUACGGGAGUGGUGGGAACGGGAAUUAGUAUUUGACCGUGAAGAGAUUGCGCCGUUUAUAAUCGACAUUAACGAAGAUUCACAUUAUAGUUUUAGUGAUUAUGACAGUGAAGAUUCUAAUACUGCAGAGGGCAUUCAGCCACUGUAACAUGUAGGUUAUUUUCCAUUACCAUCCUAAUUGAUUGUACUAGCGGCAUGUUCUGCUGAUGUCUUUUAUAAUCACACUAUCACUUCACUGGCCAAAUAUACAAAUCACUGGUCAGACGACGACGUUGUGUAACAUGCAUACUUAUUAUUGUUUAUACUUUACUUUUGUAUCUAUUCCAUGUCAAUAAAGUAACUUAUUCUGUAGAUGUGACGUGCCUAUUGUGGCAUUGAAGACGGUAAGCAUAUUUCUCUAACUUGAAGCCUGUCACAACUGUUCAAUGCUGUCUGUUUGAGAC